UAGGGAAUCUUCCACAAUGGGCGCAAGUCUGAUGGAGCAACGCCGCGUGAGUGAAGAAGGUUUUCGGACCGUAAAGCUCUGUUGUUGGUGAAGAAGGAUAGAGGUAGUAACUGGCCUUUAUUUGACGGUAAUCAACCAGAAAGUCACGGCUAACUACGUGCCAGCAGCCGCGGUAAUACGUAGGUGGCAAGCGUUGUCCGGAUUUAUUGGGCGUAAAGCGAGCGCAGGCGGAAGAAUAAGUCUGAUGUGAAAGCCCUCGGCUUAACCGAGGAAUUGCAUCGGAAACUGUUUUUCUUGAGUGCAGAAGAGGAGAGUAGAACUCCAUGUGUAGCGGUGGAAUGCGUAGAUAUAUGGAAGAAUACCAGUGGCGAAGGCGGCUCUCUGGUCUGCAACUGACGCUGAGGCUCGAAAGCAUGGGUAGCGAACAGGAUUAGAUACCCUGGUAGUCCAUGCCGUAAACGAUGAGUGCUAAGUGUUGGGAGGCUUCCGCCUCUCAGUGCUGCAGCUAACGCAUUAAGCACUCCGCCUGGGGGAGUACGACCGCAAGGUUGAAAC
rnacentral:rRNA from 1 species